GGAGAAAUGUCCGAGUGGUCGAAGGAGUAGCAUUGGAAAUGCUAUGUAGGGGUAACUUUACCGAGGGUUCGAAUCCCUCUUUCUCCG
rnacentral:tRNA from 1 species